rnacentral:pre_miRNA from 1 species
AAAAAAUGCAAACUCUGGGUUUCCGUGUCCAACUUUGACUGUCCGUCUUAUAUGAAAUUUUUUUAUAAUUUGUAUUUUCAUUGUUGUUAGAUGAUAAAACAUGAUUAAUAUUUUAUACAUGACUUGUCUUUUUUAAUUUUUUUCAUAAUUUUUUCAAAUAAGACGGACGGUCAAAUGUUGGACACGGAAACCAGGGUUUGUAUUUUUU